CAGGGUCCUGCGGUGUUAAUGUAUCAGGGUCCUGCGGUGUUAAUGUAUCAGGGUCCUGCGGUGUUAAUGUAUCAGGGUCCUGCGGUGUGAAUGUAUCAGGGUCUGGAGGUGUGAACGUAUCAGGGUCUGGAGGUGUGAACGUAUCAGGGUCUGGAGGUGUGAACGUAUCAGGGUCUGGAGGUGUGAACGUAUCAGGGUCUGUCGGUGUGAACGUAUCAGGGUCUGUCGGUGUGAACGUAUCAGGGUCUGGAGGUGUUAACGUAUCAGGGUCUCGCGUUGUGAACGUAUCAGGGUCUGGAGGUGUGAACGUAUCAGGGUCUGGCGGUGUGAACGUAUCAGGGGUCUGGCGGUGUGAACGUAUCAGGGUCUGGAGGUGUUAACGUAUCAGGGUCUCGCGUUGUGAACGUAUCAGGGUCUGGAGGUG
ensembl:lncRNA